rfam:Trichobilharzia regenti genome assembly, scaffold: TRE_scaffold0006737
AUCCAGAUGACGAGUCCCAAAUAGGAUGAAAUCCGCAUCCUGGAU